CAUGGAACGCUCAUCUGGCUGUGGCAGCCUGUGACUGAAUGAGAGAAAAGUGCCCUAGAAGCUAUUCAUUACGAAUUCACUGGAAGCUCUCAAACGAGGCUGGCAGAAGCUGAAAUUGAAGUGGUCUCUGACCUAAUUUUCUUCUGCAUGAAACAUCUGCAUCAAGGCUCUCUUUGAUGUAUUCCACUUGGCUCUGUCUACAGGAUUGUAUCACAUGGCCUCCGUGUUGCCUUCUUAUUGAAAGACAUUUUCAGCCUGAGCAAGGUUUAUAACCAGGCGCAACUGUAUUUGCAUUUCAAGAACUAGAGAAGACAAAAGGCAAAGAAAGUUUCUGGCAUGCAGUUCCUCUACUAGUGAACAGCAAAUACUGCCAUAUCUUUAACAAGAAACCUUAGAGAACCCACCUUACAAACUGUACACUGAACAAUGGCCGGAGGACACAGAAGGGGAGGGUUGAAAUUUUCACUAGGUCCUCCACACCUACAGGAGUAACCAAGCUGAUGACUUGAUGAAUGAAUUUCCUUUUGGAA